GACGAACGCUGGCGGCGUGCCUAACACAUGCAAGUCGAACGGGACUUAGUGGAAAGCGGCUUCGGCCAAUGGAAAUUAAGUUUAGUGGCGAACGGGUGAGUAACGCGUGAGGAACCUGCCUUCCAGUGGGGGACAACAGUUGGAAACGACUGCUAAUACCGCAUAACAUAAUCGAACCGCAUGAUUUGAUUAUCAAAGCUUUAUGUGCUGGAAGAUGGCCUCGCGUCUGAUUAGCUAGUUGGUGGGGUAACGGCCCACCAAGGCGACGAUCAGUAGCCGGUCUGAGAGGAUGAACGGCCACAUUGGGACUGAGAUACGGCCCAG
rnacentral:rRNA from 1 species